UGGGGGAUAUUGCACAAUGGGCGAAAGCCUGAUGCAGCUACGCCGCGUGGGGGAUGAAGGCUUUCGGGUUGUAAACCUCUUUCGCUAUCGAACAAGGCCCGCUUAGGGUGGGUUGAGGGUAGGUGGAGAAGAAGCGCCGGCUAACUACGUGCCAGCAGCCGCGGUAAUACGUAGGGCGCGAGCGUUGUCCGGAAUUAUUGGGCGUACAGGGCAUGUAGGCGGCAUGUUGCGCCUGCUGUGAAAACGCGGGGCUUAAAUUCGCGCGUGCAGUGGGUACGGGCAGGCUUGAGAGUGGGAGGGGUGACUGGAAUUCCAGGUGUGGCGGUGGAAUGCGCAGAUAUCUGGAGGAACACCGAUGGCGAAGGCAGGUCACUGGGCCAUUACUUACGCUGAGGAGCGAAAGCAUGGGUAGCGAACAGG
rnacentral:rRNA from 1 species